UACGUAGGGGGCAAGCGUUAUCCGGAUUUACUGGGUGUAAAGGGAGCGUAGACGGUAGUGCAAGUCUGAAGUGAAAGGCGGGGGCCCAACCCCCGGACUGCUUUGGAAACUGUGCUGCUAGAGUGCAGGAGAGGUAAGUGGAAUUCCUAGUGUAGCGGUGAAAUGCGUAGAUAUUAGGAGGAACACCAGUGGCGAAGGCGGCUUACUGGACUGUAACUGACGUUGAGGCUCGAAAGCGUGGGGAGCAAACAGG
rnacentral:rRNA from 1 species